rnacentral:rRNA from 1 species
CACGGAGGGUGCAAGCGUUAUUCGGAAUUAUUGGGCGUAAAGGGCGCGUAGGCGGCCGAACAGGUCAGGUGUGAAAGCCCCGGGGCUUAACCCCGGAGUAGCAUUUGUAAACCUUUACGGUCGUUGUAGUAUGGGAGGAGGAGAGCGGAAUUCCUGGUGUAGAGGUGAAAUUACGUAGAUAUCAGGAGGAACACCGGUGGCG